GUGGUGCUACUUGGCUACUAGUGAAUCUAAUCUGGAUCAACGAACGUUAGGAAAUCCCUUGACCUUAUGAAAAGUGACCUCAAAUC
rnacentral:rRNA from 1 species